AACGAACACUGGCGGCGUGCCUAACACAUGCAAGUCGUGCGAGAAAGUUCCUUCGGGAGCGAGUAAAGCGGCGCACGGGUGAGUAACACGUAGGUAACCUGCCCCCCAGUCUGGAACAACUAGAGGAAACUCUAGCUAAUGCCGGAUGAGACCACGAUCCCUUCGGGGGUUGCGGCCAAAGAUGGCCUCUACUUGUAAGCUAUCGCUGAGGGAUGGGCCUGCGGGCCAUUAGCUUGUUGGUGAGGUAACGGCUCACCAAGGCUGUGAUGGCUAGCUGGUCUGAGAGGAUGACCAGCCACACUGGGACUGAGACACGGCCCAGACACCUACGGGAGGCAGCAGUGGGGAAUAUUGCGCAAUGGGCGAAAGCCUGACGCAGCGACGCCGCGUGGGUGAUGAAGGCC
rnacentral:rRNA from 1 species